UACGUAGGGGGCAAGCGUUGUCCGGAUUUAUUGGGCGUAAAGAGCUCGUAGGCGGUCGGGUAAGUCUGUCGUGAAAUCUCCGAGCCCAACUCGGAAACUGCGUCGGAUACUAUUCGGCUAGAGGAAUGGAGGGGAGACUGGAAUUCUCGGCGUAGCAGUGAAAUGCGUAGAUAUCGAGAGGAACACCAGUGGCGAAGGCGAGUCUCUGGACAUUUCCUGACGCUGAGGCACGAAAGCCAGGGGAGCAAACGGG
rnacentral:rRNA from 1 species